rfam:Tangfeifania diversioriginum strain DSM 27063 genome assembly, contig: Ga0131164_165
UAAGGUAGCUAUAGCGGCGGGGCACCACCUCUUCCCAUUCCGAACAGAGAAGUUAAGCCCGCCAGCGCCGAUGGUACUGCGUAAAAGUGGGAGAGUAGGCCGCUGCCGGAU